UGUCUGUAUCAGACAAGUAGCCCUUCGUGUUACUCUGGACCCGUGAAGUAGCUCACCGUCUCUAAAAGGUUGGUGACCCCUGAUCUAAGGAAUCUGGGUGAAUGAGAAAGACAACGGUAUACUUUAAACUUCUACUUUAAUAAUUCUGUCUUUUCCACUUUUCCUUCUCUAAUGUCUCCUCCCACUUAGUUAAUUAAGAAAACAGAGAAAUAAAUAUAUGGUAAACUGCUCUAAUAUUCCCUAAGUAAACAUGCUCUGAUCUGCAUCCAGAAGAGCUUAGAAAGUUCUCAAUUAACUAUUGUUCUAUUGUCUUUUCUGCAAAGAAAAUAUCAUAAAGCAUAACUUAUUUUAAAUACUUCAUGUUAAUAGCUGCACAUUUAAUAUGCACGUCUUAAAAGUCUUAACUGUGACAUUUGUAAAGCAUUUCUUGAGGAAACAAUGAUAGUUCCCCUCUCUGCUGUCGCUAUCCCCAAACAUCCUGGUACCAGCAACCCCCCAAGCUCCCCUCUCUGCUGUCGCUAUCCCCAAACAUCCUGGUACCAGCAACCCCCCAAGUUACCUGAAAUUUUUUUCAGUUAUUAAAAAAUCCAGGGUGGCACCCAGUACCUCAGCGUUCCCGAAUUAUACAUGUCAA